UACGAAGGGGGCGAGCGUUGUUCGGAAUCACUGGGCGUAAAGGGCGCGUAGGCGGCCCUCUUAGUCGCGUGUGAAAGCCCCGGGCUCAACCUGGGAACGGCGUGCGAAACGGGAGGGCUGGAGUUCGGGAGAGGAGAGUGGAAUUCCCGAGUGUAGAGGUGAAAUUCGUAGAUAUUGGGAAGAACACCGGUGGCGAAGGCGGCUCUCUGGACCGAGACUGACGCUGAGGCGCGAAAAGCGUGGGGAGCAAACAGGG
rnacentral:rRNA from 1 species